rnacentral:rRNA from 1 species
GACGAACGCUGGCGGCGUGCUUAACACAUGCAAGUCGAACGAUGAAGCUAGAGCUUGCUCUGGUGGAUUAGUGGCGGACGGGUGAGUAACACGUGGGUAACCUGCCCAUAAGACUGGGAUAACUCCGGGAAACCGGGGCUAAUACCGGAUAACAUUUUGAACCGCAUGGUUCGAACUUGAAAGGCGGCUUCGGCUGGCACUUAUGGAUUGACUCGCGUCGCAGUAGCGAGUUGGUGAGGUAACGGCGCACCAAGGCAACGAUGCGUAGCCGACCUGAGAGGGUGAUCGGCCACACUGGGACUGAGACACGGCCCAGACUCCUACGGGAGGCAGCAGUAGGGAAUCUUCCGCAAUGGACGAAAGUCUGACGGAGCAACGCCGCGUGAGUGAUGAAGGCUUUCGGGUCGUAAAACUCUGUUGUUAGGGAAGAACAAGUGCUAGUUGAAUAAGCUGACACCUUGACGGUACCUAACCAGAAAGCCACGGCUAACUACGUGCCAGCCGCCGCCGUAA